rnacentral:rRNA from 1 species
UACAGAGGGUGCAAGCGUUAAUCGGAAUUACUGGGCGUAAAGCGUGCGUAGACGGUUGCGUAAGUCAGAUGUGAAAGCCCCGGGCUCAACCUGGGAAUUGCAUUUGAGACUGCGUAGCUAGGGUGCGGAAGAGGGAAGCGGAAUUUCCGGUGUAGCGGUGAAAUGCGUAGAUAUCGGAAGGAACACCAGUGGCGAAGGCAGCUCGCUGGGACGGUACUGACGCUGAGACGCGAAAGCGUGGGGAGCGAACAGG